UACGAAGGGGGCUAGCGUUGCUCGGAAUCACUGGGCGUAAAGCGCACGUAGGCGGACUCUUAAGUCGGUGGUGAAAUCCUGGAGCUCAACUCCAGAACUGCCUUCGAUACUGGGAGUCUUGAGUCCGGGAGGGGUGAGUGGAACUGCGAGUGUAGAGGUGAAAUUCGUAGAUAUUCGCAAGAACACCAGUGGCGAAGGCGGCUCACUGGCCCGGUACUGACGCUGAGGUGCGAAAGCGUGGGGAGCAAACGGG
rnacentral:rRNA from 1 species